rnacentral:rRNA from 1 species
ACGAACGCUGGCGGCAUGCCUCACCCAUGCCAGUCGAACGAGACCUUCGGGUCUAGUGGCGCACGGGUGCGUAACGCGUGGGAACCUGCCCUUAGGUUCGGAAUAACUCCCCGAAAGGGGUGCUAAUACCGGGUAAUGUCUUCGGACCAAAGAUUUAUCGCCUUUGGAUGGGCCCGCGUUGGAUUAGCUAGUUGGUAGGGUAAAAGCCUACCAAGGCGACGAUCCAUAGCUGGUCUGAGAGGAUGAUCAGCCACACUGGGACUGAGACACGGCCCAGACUCCUACGGGAGGCAGCAGUGGGGAAUAUUGGACAAUGGGCGAAAGCCUGAUCCAGCAAUGCCGCGUGAGUGAUGAAGGCCUUAGGGUUGUAAAGCUCUUUUACCCGGGAUGAUAAUGACAGUACCGGGAGAAUAAGCUCCGGCUAACUCCGUG